rnacentral:rRNA from 1 species
GAUGAACGCUAGCUACAGGCUUAACACAUGCAAGUCGAGGGGCAGCAUGGUCUUAGCUUGCUAAGGCCGAUGGCGACCGGCGCACGGGUGAGUAACACGUAUCCAACCUGCCGUCUACUCUUGGACAGCCUUCUGAAAGGAAGAUUAAUACAAGAUGGCAUCAUGAGUCCGCAUGUUCACAUGAUUAAAGGUAUUCCGGUAGACGAUGGGGAUGCGUUCCAUUAGAUAGUAGGCGGGGUAACGGCCCACCUAGUCUUCGAUGGAUAGGGGUUCUGAGAGGAAGGUCCCCCACAUUGGAACUGAGACACGGUCCAAACUCCUACGGGAGGCAGCAGUGAGGAAUAUUGGUCAAUGGGCGAGAGCCUGAACCAGCCAAGUAGCGUGAAGGAUGACUGCCCUAUGGGUUGUAAACUUCUUUUAUAAAGGAAUAAAGUCGGGUAUGGAUACCCGUUUGCAUGUACUUUAUGAAUAAGGAUCGGCUAACUCCGUGCCAGCAGCCGCGGUAAUACGGAGGAUCCGAGCGUUAUCCGGAUUUAUUGGGUUUAAAGGGAGCGUAGAUGGAUGUUUAAGUCAGUUGUGAAAGUUUGCGGCUCAACCGUAAAAUUGCAGUUGAUACUGGAUAUCUUGAGUGCAGUUGAGGCAGGCGGAAUUCGUGGUGUAGCGGUGAAAUGCUUAGAUAUCACGAAGAACUCCGAUUGCGAAGGCAGCCUGCUAAGCUGCAACUGACAUUGAGGCUCGAAAGUGUGGGUAUCAAACAGGAUUAGAUACCCUGGUAGUCCACACGGUAAACGAUGAAUACUCGCUGUUUGCGAUAUACUGCAAGCGGCCAAGCGAAAGCGUUAAGUAUUCCACCUGGGGAGUACGCCGGCAACGGUGAAACUCAAAGGAAUUGACGGGGGCCCGCACAAGCGGAGGAACAUGUGGUUUAAUUCGAUGAUACGCGAGGAACCUUACCCGGGCUUAAAUUGCAGAUGAAUUACGGCGAAAGCCGUAAGCCGCAAGGCAUCUGUGAAGGUGCUGCAUGGUUGUCGUCAGCUCGUGCCGUGAGGUGUCGGCUUAAGUGCCAUAACGAGCGCAACCCUUGUUGUCAGUUACUAACAGGUUCCGCUGAGGACUCUGACAAGACUGCCAUCGUAAGAUGUGAGGAAGGUGGGGAUGACGUCAAAUCAGCACGGCCCUUACGUCCGGGGCUACACACGUGUUACAAUGGGGGGUACAGAGGGCCGCUACCACGCGAGUGGAUGCCAAUCCCCAAAACCUCUCUCAGUUCGAACUGGAGUCUGCAACCCGACUCCACGAAGCUGGAUUCGCUAGUAAUCGCGCAUCAGCCACGGCGCGGUGAAUACGUUCCCGGGCCUUGUACACACCGCCCGUCAAGCCAUGGGAGCCGGGGGUACCUGAAGUGCGUAACCGCGAGGAG